CGGGAAGGCACCGCCAGGGUACCCAGGAGGGUGCUCAGCAGAAGCAGCGCCAAGACCAUCUUCAUUUUUGCGAAGCUUCCAGCAGCAGGGUGCUAAAGAGAAAUGAGAUCAUAACCAAAAGGAAACUUUUUAUCAAAAGGCCUUUCUUCAGAAGGUUGUUUCUUUCCUGUGAGAGAAAGAGCCCUAUUUGCAGAUGAAAGAUUGCCAAGGGCCUCAAGCGUUUCAUCAGCUCCCUGCACAGGAUCGAUGUGGAUAAACUUGGCAGACCUUUCAGAUGCAGCAUCUCUUGCUGCAACUUCUUUUCCUGCAUAUGGUUGCACAGAUGAUGGAAUGUCACUGAUUGCCUAGCGAGGGGCCAGAGGAUGGGCUUCAAGAGCUACCUCUUUCAGUCAGUGCCAACCUGGAAAAAAACACAGAAAGUAUCCUUUCCAGUAGGAAACGAUUAGUUCAUUCAGGAUCCAGUGAGAAGGUGUCUCCUCUGAGAGCAAAGCCACAUAUCCAGAGUGGGGGAAGAGGAAACACCUCAUGGAGUAACAAUGGAGUACGAGCAGGCUGGGGGCAGUGGGAAGGAGUGGGCCCCCAGGGUUGCACAGGCAGAACAAUGUGGUUGCUGGACAGAUGCCUUGUGUUGUGUUGGGUGGAGAAAAGCAGACCUAGCCAACAACCUCAUGCAAUACUUUAAUUCCUGGCUUUGGGAUUCUUUCCGGUUUUUGCAACUGAAAUAAAAACCCCCUGUAAUUACUCUAACCGGGCUGCUAGUACAGCAUACUCAAUGCACUGAGUUCCUUGCUGACCAGACAUUUAAUCAAGAGGUUGAUUGAACGGUAUUUCAGAGGAAGUUACUUUAGACUACUAUAGCUAAUCAAAUGAUCUGGUACCAUAAAAACACACAACAAGGUUCUUAAAUGGAAUCGAAGUAUUAUGUAUUAAUGAGAAAAUAGUCUUGAGGGUGAAGCAUGUGUCCUCAUAUUUCUGUUGCAGUUUGGCCCUUGUUCUAUUACCGCCAUCCUGGAUCUAUUUUGUGAUGUGGGUGAAUAGAGAUGGAUGAUUGCCCCUUAGCUGUUGAAGCCAUAAUUCUUACAUUUUCCAGUCUGCCUAGUUUUGAUUCUGAUCUUGCUUUGUGAGAGUUCAGGGGGUUUUCUGCCUGUUGGGCUGCUUGCAGGACAGAGGUUUGUUAGGAGUGUGAAAAGGUGCCUCUGCUCAGCUGACUCUGUUCACAAUUUGAUGUCACGGUGCUUAUUCAGUUUGAUUUAUCAUAUGCCAGAAGCGAACUAGGGCCUCUAUAAGAAGUGCAUGUCCCAUCUGCUGCUGCCUCAGCAAGGAAAGUAGGCAAAGGGCACAGAUGCUUUGAAGCAAACCUCUUGAAACUGAGCCUACCUACUCGUGGUGGUCCCAUCCAACAGGGUGUUCCCCCUCUCUGCUGGGGAUGGGCAGCCAGGACAGCUGAAAGCAGGGUGGAUGGUUGUACCUCUGCCUCUAGUUCAGAUUAGAAACAUCAGGCAGGACAUCCUUUGCUACUGCUGUUAUGGGCAUGGCAAUUUAAAAGGGGGGGGAGGAGAUAGCUGCAGACAGCACGGGCAGAACAGGAUAUCCUUGCCUUUUCAGGGUGACAAAAUGCCUGGCACUGCCUCUGCUUUUCUGCAGAAAUUCUUUUCUGGUGCAGAUCCUGGCCACAGCAGUCCAUGCCUUAGAUGAGAUUAUCCUAAUGCCUCUGGGAGCGUGCAGCGUUCCAGGGCAGCGCUGUGCUGCGGGGGCAGGCUGUGAGCCUGGUGCCCAUCUCCAAGGGGAAGCUGUAAGCAGGAAUAAAACUCAGAGGAGGGAAUGAGAGCAUAUUGUGCUGGUGCUGUGACUUUGGAUGUCUUUUUAGUUAACUGCAAAUAAAUUUUGGUAUGAGUAAUUUGAAGUUUUUAUCAGAAGAUACAAUGUAAUAAAAGUGUAUUAGUAGCAUUCCCUUGCUGCCCAAGGGAAGUUCUCUUGUGUUUUCCAGGGAGUAGCUGCGUUUCCAGAACACGUUCAGAGAGCCGUGCUGGAACGUGGACUGAUAGUUAUGUUUACAAAGUGUGUGAGUGAUAGUUUUCUUCAGGAAACGUCCCGCUGCAUUUUGAGAAAGGAUAGUUCUAACAAAGCUGGUGUUUUACUGGUGUGAUGAUUUUAGGGAUUUUUCCCCCCCCCCCGCCCCUCUCCUUCCAUAGCCCCACAUAUGAUGUUUUCAGUCACUGAAAGCAUUCAGGAACAGGAGGAAACUUUCUCCUUCAUGAUGCAGUUUCAGAGUAGAGACUGGGAAGCAGAUUGGGAUUUAGAGGAAACAAAAGUUUUAGGGAAUUUCAGCAGGGAAAUGCAACCUAAGAGGAGGCAAGAGAAGGAACAACUCUUCGAGGUGUGCAAAGCGAGGCAGUUUAUAGGAAAAUGCAUUGAAGGGCAGGGCAGCCUGCAAAGGGAGAAAGCAAACUGCAAAGCAGUACUUCAGAUCUUACCUCCUUUUCCCUUUCUCCACUGUUCCCCUAACCCGUUGCCCCAAAUACCUGUUUCUGUACUGACAGGGUCUCCAGCCCUGGUGACCCUUUCUUUAUUUUCAGUUUCCUCCUGCCUUUUUGCUCCGGCACCAUGUCCCCAGCGGGCUCAGCAGCUGGUGUCUGGUGCAGGCUGGCAGGGUGCCAGCCAUGACAGAGGGGUAUUGAAAAUCGCAGAGGCUUUUUGUUCCCCACCAUGGCAUCUGGGAGCUGCAGGAGAACCGUAAGGAAAUCCUGCUCUUUCACCCUCCUUCAUCGGUGCAGUAAUCCCGAGUCAUGUUCAACUCCUUAUAUUUAAAUACCCUGCUUUAGAUGUAUACAUAUCUGCUCCUCUCUGAAGAGGUAUGGCAAUAUUAGAGGUAAGAUGCAAAGUAGAGCUGCUUUGGCUUUGUUUGUUUGUUUGUUUUCAUUUUGUUUCCCAGGCUAGAGCUGUUGGAGCCAGCAAGAAGUGAUGGCCCAUGAGGAGGCAGUGGCAGAUGGAGGCAGGAGGGGGUGGUGAAAAGGUAGCAGCAGCAAUCCAUAGGAGAGAAGUAGUUUUCAAAGGAGAACAGCCCCUGAUAGGGUGAGAAGGAGGAAAGAAAAAGCAGCAAUGAAAUUCAGCCACAAAAGCGUGGCUGCCUCUGACAUACAGCACUACUCUAGACUAAAUCUGUGUAAUGUGCCCUGGGAAAAUAAUCUUACUUUUUAAUUUUAUUUUUUGAAAUAUUCAGUAUUCUAAAUGUGCUUUGCAUUUUGAACGUGAGCCACACAGGUUUAGGUUUUUUCUGUAAACAAAAAUCACUUUGCAUCUUAUUGUAUCCUUGAUAUCAACGCUCAGCUCUUCACAGGGUGACAGUGAGAAAUACCGAUGCUUCUCCACUCACAUUAAAUCUUCUUAAAAGAUACCACUUAACCUAUGAGUCAGCCAGCUCAUUAAUACACAGAGUUUAUAUGAAGAGAUCUAUAAGGAACCUCAGAACCUGAUUUUGGCAGAUGAUGCAGUCUAAAACUUGUACUUGAAGAUUAUAAAGGAAUGUAAGUAUUGUACGGAUGCAUAAAGACCUGGGAGACUUAAUGCCAGUGGUAAUGACAGUGCCAGCACAGCUAAGGCAUUAACUGCUGUCAUUAUUUGUUACAGGAUCACAGUGGGUAGGGUGCCUUGGAGUCAGUCUUCAGCACAAUGGAUUUUUAAGCAGAGAUAAAAAUCUUACAUGCUCAUUUUGCAAAUAUUCACAUGUAAAACGAAUAUAACUCGCAUUGCACUCCUCAUGCCAUGCCUUCCAUCACUCAGCAUCUAUAAUGUCACUCAGAAAAAGUAUUUGAAAAUGGUUUUUUACGCUUUUAGCUUGUGUAAUUUUAAUUGUGUGCCCUUUGUUCUGUUGUUGAUUGGUUUUAGAAAAAUGUCUGUGCUGUUAAACACUCUACAAUUGCCUCUGCAGUUCCUGCAUCUGAUAAUUUGCUUUUUACCUUGUACAUGCUUUACCCUGGGGGAUUCGUCUGAGUUUUCUGGAGCACUGUUCAUUGUUCUGAAGAAACUGGGGGUACGGUAGUUCUUGCUCAUGCCUUUAUUGCUGGGUGCUGAUUUACUUCCAGUGGCUGUUCUCUGUGGAGUCCCAGAGCCCCUCUGUUUCCCUUCUCUCUCUGAUUUUUGGCUUCCUGGUUUAGCUGUUAGUUUUCUCAACUUUUUAUGCAGGCUGCAAUCUGUGCUUGGUUAAAAUUUGCAACACGGAACACUGGGCUAAUCAAAGGCAUCUUUUAGUGUAUUUCCUCAGAUCAGCGGUCUAUUGGCAUGCUCAGGCUCUUGCUGCUUUUCUGUGAAGGCAGAGAGGAUACAGAUAUUCAGAACCUGUUGAUGCUAUGAACUAUAAAGUCCAGACAGGCCAAAUGAGUUAAUGUUGUAAGCAUGUACAUAUAAAGUCUGGUGUCUCAGGCUGGCAAAGGAAUCUGAAUGUAUUACAGAAAAAACACUCUAAAAUGGGAAACUGUUCCCAGUUACCGGCCAUCGCAGAUACUGGUUGUCUGAUACUUAGAAAUCCAUGUCUGGUCUGAUUUGUUUGUUGAUUCAGGAUGUUAUGGGGUUUUGUAUGGCAUUUUUUUACUGCUUUGCUAGGAAUUAGCUAUUUAUACCUAAAGGCACGUGGCCUUGAGGAUGUGGAGCAUUCUGCAGCUGCUGAAGUUGGUUGGUGCCAGGAGUGUGAUAGAAAACAGAGAUACCUUUGUCUCUAUCACCUGUGCUUAUUUCUCUGUAGUUAAAGGAAAAAAAAAAAUAAUAUAAAACAAAAAAACCAAACUUACAUUAAUUGUAAGGUCUGAUUUAGUUUUCCUUAAUCACCACCACUAAAAACAUUACAGAUACUGCACUGACUUUUGAAGUCCUUGAUCACACCACUGCCUUUUGCCUGUACAGGGUAGCUCUGACCCUGCACAAGACUGCUUGCUGGGCAUUCAGCCCUGGGGUGCUGCAGAGAGACUGUAAGGCUUGUCCAGCCCUCAGACUUUCACCCCUGCUGCUCAUCCAUGUGGUCACCAACAAUACAGCCAGCAGAGACCUGGAAAGUAUCAAGUGUGACUGCAUGGGGCAAAAGCAUCUUUGCCAACAGGCUGGCCAGCCUGAUGAGGAGAGCUUUAAACCAGAAACAACAGGGGAAGGAGAGGGCAACCCCUAACUGAGUGAGGAAGCAGUGGCAACCUCAGGAAGCUUGCAGAAGAAGCAGGAGUGGAGGAAGGAGACCAUGCACCUAGUGGCUAGGCUGCCACUCAAAAAGCCUGGAGAAAUAGGCUGGCAGGAGCACCAUGAUGUUCAACAAAAGCAAAUGCAAAGUCCUGCACCUUGGGAAGAACGGCCACAUGCAUUACAACAGGCCGGGGACUAACUGGUUGGAAUGCAGCUUUGGAGAGUAGGACAUAGGGUCCUGGUAAGCACCAAGUUGGACAUGAGCCAGCAGCGGACCUUUGCAGCAAAGAAGGCCAACAGUGUCCUGGUCUGCACUAGGAGAAGUGUUGCCAGCAAGCUGAGGGAGGUGAGCGUUCCCCUCUGCUCUUCUCUGGUGAGACACACCUGGAGCGCUGGACCCAGAUUCAGGUGACCUAGAAUAAAAGAGCUGUGAACAAACUGGAGGCCACUGAAGGGCCGCAAAGGUGAUUUAUGGACUGGAACAUCUAUUGUACAAAGAGGAUGGGACAGCUGGGACUCUCCAGCAUGGAGAAGGGAAGACCCACCAGGGAUCUUAUCUAUCUAUUUAAAAACACCCAGUGGGGACUGGGUAAUGAAGAUGGAGCCAGACUCUCCUCAGUGGUGCCCAGUGACAGAGCAAGAGGCAAUGGGCACCAGCGGGAACACAGAAGAUUCCAUUUCAAAACCCAAAUAACUUGUUUACCUGUGAUGAAGGUCACAGUGCCCACAGAGGCUGUGGAGAUCUCCUUAGAGGUAUUAAAACCCCAGGUAAAAACAGUCCUGGGCAACUUGCUACAGCUGACCCUGCUUGAGCUGGGGAGCUGGACUAGAUGAUCCCAAGGUGCCUUCCAGCCUCAACUACUCUGUGACUUCAGCCCCAUGCGCAAAUGGAAGUCAAUUGGCAGCCCAGCACAGGCUCAGAACUGUGAUCACCUGUACUGAGUGCAUCGUCUCAAAUAAGCUCAUGUAACGGUGGUUUGACAAAGUAAAUCUUUUGUUUGCAGACUUUUUACUGGUCCCUGUCACCCUUUGUCAGGUCACAGCCCAGAUGUCCUGUGAGAACAGCAACCUCCCUGCAUCACGGCAGGCGACUGUGCAUGCUACUAUUUGUUUCUGAACUGUCAGGUAUGAAUAGACAAUUCAGUUUCCUUAAGAGCCUCUGGUGAGGGAUUUUUGCCAAAAACUUUCUGGAAACUGAAGUACUGCAAUAGAAGCUGAAUCCCCCUUAUCCGCUUAAUCACAGUUCAUCUGACGCUGGUGUUUUUCCUGCUUUACCUGCCAGAAGUAGUUUUAGGCAUAUAAAAGCUUAAAGGAUUACUGCCUUUGAGUGUCACCAGAACCUCUUCAUUUGUUGAUAGAUAACAAUGAGGUAAUUUUAUUGAGAGGAGAAGGAUUUGUUUUUCUAUUAACUAACACAGAGUAAUAGUCACAGUUCUGAAGUACUCGUCCUGUUUUUGCAAAGUUGCCCAUCCAGACUCUCUCAUCAAAGGAACUGAUACCUUCAGCAUCUACUACACAGUCCUUUGAUAACUUCAAAUUAACUUACAAAGGUUUUGUAUCUGUAAAGGGUUGUAGCUGCUGAGCAGAAUUGCUGCUGUCAGUACCAGGUCUUUGAUUCCUACAACUACUGGUAGCAAAUGUUACCCACCUUAGGGAUCAUACAAAAUGGCUAGUAAAUCCACAAGUGUUAAUGAAGGUGAUGGUGUUCAUAGCUGUGUGCUUACAUUAUUUCAUAUCUUGUGAGGUGAAGACUUUGGAGACUUGUUAGCGACAGCUAUGUAUCAAUCCCAAAUGAAGCCACACACAAGGCAUUUAGGUGUUUCACCCAAACACUACUGCUGUUGGCAGAUACAGUGCUCUGCAUCCCUCUGAAAUAUAUCUAAAAAAAGAUCCUUGGCUCUUAGCUGUAGUAAAAGGAUGGAGAUGAAGAGAGGAACAUCUCCACAGUCUCAUCUGGGCUCUUCCCCAUGCAAAGUGGGACAGCAUGUUUUACUGCUGGAAGGGCUGUCUUAAGUAUGCUGGAGGCCCUAGCUAAAUACUUGCUGGGCUUCUCUACCAUAACGAAUAAGGAAGGGCUUUACUGACUUACGUUUAAAUUGAGCCUUUUAUUCUGGACUCAAACCAACAAGUCAAAACAUCAGUGUCUUAUGCCUACAAGCUCCAGGCUCUGGUCAUAACUGACACUGAGAAAGUCUGCUGCCUAGACUUUUAGGUAGCAAAACUACAAAUCACAGCUGAAACCUUUUUUGAAGGAUAUUGGACUUGACACUCACCAGAGACAAAUAAUAUGGUCUUAUUUGUAGUGUAUGUCAGUGCAGCUCAUCUUUAAUAAGCUUUAACUACAAAAGAAGACCAUUUACUGUUGUAGUUUACUAUCAUCAUAACCCAGAAAAAAACCACAAAGGAAUGCUAUUUGUGGAAACGUGAAAUUCAGCUUAUCAAUAUUUACUGCCAGGCAGGAGCUGAGCAGGGAUGAUUAUUCUCUUGCUGAAGUAUGCAGCUCACAACAAAUACCUUUCAUGUUCACCCAGGUCACUACAGUCAAGCACAUUACUUUUCUGAUGCUAUUUGAUUUCCUCAGUAUUCAUAGACCUUAAUUAAAUUGAAAAACCAAGUCAUAUACUGAUGUCUUUAUAUGCCUUUUUGGUGACCCUUAAGUCAAUAAAGACUUGGGUUCUGUGAGGAACAGUUUUGGUAACCCCUUCAAGGGUACUUAGGUGACUGCUUCAUUGUUGCAUGUUUCUUGUCAUCAAGAGCAGUGUGAACAGUUCCCAGAGCUUUUAACUUUGCAUUUAAAUUGGAUAUGUCAAGUCUUACAGUAGGUCUCUGAUUUUGAAGGUUUGAUAAGAAUAUACAUCUUUACAAGGUAACUUUUAUGUGGUAUCUGAUAUCAAUGUGUAUGUAUAGGUCCUCAAUUUCUUGUACAAUCUUCCUUGGGUCUGAGACUGAGAACUUAAUCUAAAGAAUCGUCAAAAAUGCUUUCCAGACUGUCCCUGCUUCAACGGAGACUUAAAAGCUUCACAUUCAGGGUAUCUGGAACUGAAUUAUCACUUUACAAUCUUUGUGCAGACCUUUGAUUGUAUUAGCAAGACCUGACAGUUGAGUGUUAGGUAAACAUUAUGCAACUCUUCAACUUGGACCUAGUAGUGUUGAACACAGUGUUGAACACAGUAAAUAGCCCAAGAAAAAGGACAAUUUUGCAUAAAGCAAAAACUAUGAAGCAAUUUACUGCUGCCUUCAGCAAUCUCGGUGCUCAUUAAGCUUAAGAUAUAUCCAACACAUGGAAAAUACAAAAAUAGUUUGACCCGGGAAUACUAUGUAUAUUUACGUAAAUGUUUAUAUAAAAUUAUUAUUUUAUAUAUAUUGCCUUAUGCCUGUCACCACCAAAUUAAUCAGGACAUAUCUUUCUCCUUUAAAAAUAUCAUCACCAUAUUUGCAAGAUAGCUCUACGGGAGUAAACUAUAGAAACUAUUCCAUCUGGGCUUUUGUUUAUAUAUAUCACAACAUAAAAGUUUAAUUGCUUGUAUGAUAUGCAUUUACAGCAUAGUUCCCGCUAAAUGAUUAAUAUUUUGAGGGGGGUGUUGGGUUUAUGGUUAAUAGUUCAGAAACAAUUGGAGGCAAACCUUUCUGUCUGGUAGGGUGACAACCCAAGCGUGAGCAUUCUUCACAUUUCUUGAGGCAUGCUCUUUAAGGAGAGAGCUGGUUAACUGGUUCAAAAGGUUAACCAGUUUCCUGUUUCCUACAUAUCUUUCUCUGGUUUGUUGUCCUGUAAUAGAACUGUCUCCCUGGGAUUCACAACUCAAGUAAUAAUGAUUACUUCAGUUCUAAUUACAUUUAACCCCUCUUGCAAUGCUGUUCCUCACUGUUGAACUUCAUUAAUUCUGAGUCAGUUUUACCAGAUCGCUCUUGUCAGUACCAACGCAUUAGCAUACACAAUUCAGAGACCAUUUUAAUACCCUGAAAUAUAAGCUGUCUCAGCACAGUCACUGAAAGAGUUUGUACAGUUUGACAAAUCUGUUCUUGAAAAUAACCGACGUCCAAAGCAGCAGAUUGACUUCUAGGUGGUAAAUAUUCACCAUUUACAAAUUCAUCAUGAGGAGUUCGUGCUUGAAAACUGCAUUAAAUAUCUUGGGUUUGCUUUCUCACCAACUGAAUAAACAUAGGAAGGCUUACUUUAAUCCUAGUCCUCAUUCUGCCAGUUCUUCAGGGCUUUUAGUUAUCCAAUAGGAAAGUAAUUCAUUGUUAAUUGUAUACUGUAAAGCUGGAUUUCCUGAAAAGUGUGAAGACUCUUGUGGUUUGAAUAUUCCUGCAGUGUUUACUGUAAUGCCCUUUUCUUUGCUUGCCUUCUGUAUGGUACACCUUAUGUAAUUAAUCAUUUGGUAAGUUCUCCUUUUGGAUAAGGAUUAAUUUCUGCUCUCCUAUUACUUCAUGAUGAGCCUAAUUUCAUGUGAAAAAUAAACCUAAGCAUAGCUGAUUUGCUGCUUUUUCUUUUUUUUUUUUUGCUGUUCCAUUUCUAUCAUUGUCCUAUCAC